UGAGGAAUAUUGGUCAAUGGGCGAGAGCCUGAACCAGCCAAGUCGCGUGAGGGAAGACGGUCCUACGGAUUGUAAACCUCUUUGUCGGGGAGCAAUAAGGCGUACGAGUACGCAGAUGCGAGUACCCGAAGAAAAAGCAUCGGCUAACUCCGUGCCAGCAGCCGCGGUAAUACGGAGGAUGCGAGCGUUAUCCGGAUUUAUUGGGUUUAAAGGGUGCGCAGGCGGAAAGUGCAAGUCAGCGGUCAAACGACGGGGCUCAACCCCGUCUCGCCGUUGAAACUGUCUUUCUAGAGUGAGCGAGAAGUGUGCGGAAUGCGUGGUGUAGCGGUGAAAUGCAUAGAUAUCACGCAGAACUCCGAUUGCGAAGGCAGCAUACCGGCGCUCAACUGACGCUCAUGCACGAAAGCGUGGGUAUCGAACAGGAUUAGAUACC
rnacentral:rRNA from 1 species